AUCUUUUCUGUUUUGACCGGUUGC
rnacentral:siRNA from 1 species